CGGGGCGUAGCGCAGGUGGCUAGCGCGCUGCCUUGGGAGCAGGAGGUCGCUGGUUCAAGUCCAGUCGCCCCGACCA
rnacentral:tRNA from 1 species